GGCUGGUCCGAUGGUAGUGGGUUAUCAGAACUUAUUAACAUUAGUGUCACUAAAGUUGGUAUACAACCCCGUACUGCUAAAUUUGACUGGCUUAAA
rnacentral:Y_RNA from 1 species